GCCAUGCUAGUCGCACGAGUUUAGACUCGUGGCAGAUAGCUCAGUAACACGUGGCCAAGCUACCCUUCAGACCAGAAUAACCUCGGGAAACUGAGGCUAAGACUGGAUACGGUAUGUAUGCUGGAAUGCGACAUACUCCAAACGUUCCGACGCUGAAGGAUGCGGCUGCGGCCGAUUAGGUAGACGGUGGGGUAACGGCCCACCGUGCCAAUAAUUGGUACGGGUGAUGAGAGUCAGAGCCCGGAGACGGAAUCUGAGACAAGAUUCCGGGCCCUACGGGGCGCAGCAGGCGCGAAACCUUUACACUGCACGCAAGUGCGAUAGGGGAAUCCCAAGUGCGAGGGCAUACUAGCCCUCGCUUUUGUUGACUGUAAGGAGGUCAACGAAUAAGAGCUGGGCAAGACCGGUGCCAGCCGCCGCGGUAAUACCGGCAGCUCGAGUGAUGUCCAAUAUUAUUGGGCCUAAAGCGUCCGUAGCUGGCCAGCCAAGUUCGUCGGGAAAUCCACCUGCCCAACAGGUGGGCGUCCGGCGAAAACUGUCUGGCUUGGAACCGGAAGGCUCAGAGGGUACGUCCGGGGUAGGAGUGAAAUCCCGUAAUCCCGGACGGACCACCGAUGGCGAAAGCACUCUGAGAAGACGGAUUCGACAGUGAGGGACGAAAGCUAGGGUCUCGAACCGGAUUAGAUACCCGGGUAGUCCUAGCUGUAAACGAUGCUCGUUAGGUGUGGCACCCACUACGAGUGGGUGCUGUGCCGUAGGGAAGCCGCUAAACGAGCCGCCUGGGAAGUACGUCCGCAAGGAUGAAACUUAA
rnacentral:rRNA from 1 species